rnacentral:rRNA from 1 species
CAGUCGCCGCGGUAAUACGUAGGUGGCAAGCGUUGUCCGGAAUUAUUGGGCGUAAAGGGCUCGCAGGCGGUUUCUUAAGUCUGAUGUGAAAGCCCCCGGCUCAACCGGGGAGGGUCAUUGGAAACUGGGAAACUUGAGUGCAGAAGAGGAGAGUGGAAUUCCACGUGUAGCGGUGAAAUGCGUAGAGAUGUGGAGGAACACCAGUGGCGAAGGCGACUCUCUGGUCUGUAACUGACGCUGAGGAGCGAAAGCGUGGGGAGCAAACAGGAUUAGAGACCCCCGUAGUCCCUGUCUCUUAUAC